rnacentral:rRNA from 1 species
GACGAACCGUGCGAACGUUGUUCGGAAUCACUGGGCUUAAAGGGCGCGUAGGCGGGCCGCCGCGUCCGGGGUGAAAUCCCCCCGCUCAACGGGGGAACGGCCUCCGGAGUACGGGCGGUCGUGGAGGCGGGUAGGGGCACGGCGGAACUGUGGGUGGAGCGGUGAAAUGGCGGUUGAGAAUCCACAGGAACUCCGGUGGCGAAAGGCGGCGUGCUGGACCCGAUCUGACGCUGGAGGC